UACGUAGGGGGCUAGCGUUGUCCGGAAUCAUUGGGCGUAAAGCGCGCGUAGGCGGCCCGGUAAGUCCGCUGUGAAAGUCAAAGGCUCAACCUUUGAAUGUCAGCGGAUACUGCCGGGCUAGAGUCCGGAAGAGGCGAGUGGAACUCCUGGUGUAGCGGUGGAAUGCGCAGAUAUCAGGAAGAACACCAACGGCGAAGGCAGCUCGCUAGGACGGUACUGACGCUGAGACGCGAAAGCGUGGGGAGCGAACAGG
rnacentral:rRNA from 1 species